rnacentral:rRNA from 1 species
GAUGAACGCUGGCGGCGUGCCUAAUACAUGCAAGUCGAGCGAACAGACGAGGAGCUUGCUCUUCUGACGUUAGCGGCGGACGGGUGAGUAACACGUGGAUAACCUACCUAUAAGACUGGGAUAACAUCGGGAAACCGGAGCCAAUACUGGAUAAUACAUUGAACCGCAUGGUUCAAUAGUGAAAGAGGGCUUUGCUGUCACUUAUAGAUGGAUCCGCGCCGCAUUAGCUAGUUGGUAAGGUAACGGCUUACCAAGGCGACGAUGCGUAGCCGACCUGAGAGGGUGAUCGGCCACACUGGAACUGAGACACGGUCCAGACUCCUACGGGAGGCAGCAGUAGGGAAUCUUCCGCAAUGGGCGAAAGCCUGACGGAGCAACGCCGCGUGAGUGAUGAAGGUCUUCGGGUCGUAAAACUCUGUUAUUAGGGAAGAAAAGAUGUGUAAGUAACUAUGCACGUCUUGACGGUACCUAAUCAGAAAGCCACGGCUAACUACGUG